CGAAGGAAGGACAUGAAGAAGAUCUCAGGAUUUUCGCCAUCUUGGUUUCCGCCUUCCAUCACCUAUCUGGAUCACUCCUACGUCCUAAUGGCUAUGAACUCUUUACGUAUAUAUGAACUAUUUAUGACAUAAUCUACAUUCUAUUAUCUGAACUGUAUUGUCUACUGUGCGGUGGCGUUCUGCUUUGGAUUGCGACAAAUUAAUUCUGAUCGUUUAGUUCCCUUAUUUAUGCUCAAAAGCGUAGUUUCAUAACAACAAAAAAAAGAAAAGAAAAAGAAAACAAACCAAAAACAAUAAAACAAAUAACGCGUGCGUUAACAGAAUAGCUUAGUGGUGUCUAGCGCGAUACUGACAUUUCUUAAUUUUGUAAAGAUAAAGCUAUGUGGGGAGCUGCUGGUGGUCUUCGCCCUACCCAGGUUUUCCUGUACUGCAGGUUUUUUCCUGGCCUCCCUGAUUAUCCAGCCGUAGCAUAAGUGUUAGUAUCUCGUGGACACCAUAUAUCUUAUGUGUUAGUAUCUCGUGGACACCAUAUAUCUCGUCCUGAUCUUCGUAUCUCUCGGUCACUUCACCACGGGGAAGCCCGGUUCGGACAUGAGAUUCAAUGUCCAUCACGGUAAGGGCCCUUAC
rnacentral:lncRNA from 1 species